UUUGCUUAAACAUUUGUGGUACGGGCCCUUCGCGUGCCCUGUUGCAAGGAGCUCUGCAGCUCACGCCUUGUGUGACGGAGCCGGAGAUGUGUUUCCGUAAUGCUCCAAAGUCUUCGUUUUUCCUGGUCCCAGGCAGGGUACGGUACGUCUGUGUGGAGGAGUCUCAGUAUGCAGCGCUGCUAUUUAUACAGCAUCCCGGCUACAGGAAGCGCUGCUUGAUGGGCAGCGCGCUCGCCAGCCAAAUUUUCAAAAGAGCCCCGUUUGCUGACAUAAAUGGGGUUGCUGAUGUGCCGCAAGAGAAGGAAGUGCCGGAGAACGUAUUCCUCGCUGGGUCCAAGUCUCUCCUGUUUUAUCUUGCUCUUCCAUAUGUUUCCUCUGUAAUGAGAGGAAUUAUUUAUCAUUAAAGUGAUAUAUAAUGUAAAAAUUAAAGUUAAAAUUAAUGAAUGCUUAAAUUAAUUUACUGACAAAAAUAAAUGUCUGUCCUUCAGAUCCUAUAAUUUUAAUUGGAGCGGGCUACAGCUUAAUUAACGUGUAUUGAUUGUAGUCCUGUGCGCAUCUAUAGGUGGGUGGACUGUGUAGCAGUGUUGGGAGAAAUCCUCCUCGCAGAUGAAGGGUUGAGAAUUGGCACGGCCGCGUUAUAGAUGGGAAGACAAUUCUGCUCCAAGAAAUAUUAAUGAUCUGAAUCAUUAAAUAGAUGCAUGGAGAAUACAGAAAAUUGGA